rnacentral:tRNA from 1 species
GGUGACUCAAUGGUAGAGUGCUUGCCUCGCAUGCAUGAGGCCCUGAGUUGUAUUCCUCAGCACCA